rnacentral:rRNA from 1 species
AAUCAACGCUGGCGGCGUGCCUAACACAUGCAAGUCGAACGAGAAAGUGGAGCAAUCCAUGAGUAAAGUGGCGACCGGGUGAGUAACACGUGACUAACCUACCUUCGAGUGGGGGAUAACCUCGGGAAACCGGGGCGUAAUACCGCAUAACAUCUUUGAAGUGGAAAUUUCGGAGAUCAAAGGAGCAAUUCGCUGGAAGAGGGGGUCGCGGCUGAUUAGCUAGUUGGCGGGGUAACGGCCCACCAAGGCUUAGAUCGGUAGCCGGCCUGAGAGGGCGCACGGCCACACUGGAACUGAAACACGGUCCAGACUCCUACGGGAGGCAGCAGUGGGGAAUCUUGCGCAAUGGGCGAAAGCCUGACGCAGCGACGCCGCGUGAGGGAUGACGGCCU